rnacentral:lncRNA from 1 species
GCAGAUUUCUGCUUUGGUGAAGGCAGUCUACUAGGUGGAGUAUAUCAACUUUUCACCUAAUGAAUUACCUACAUGUUGUUCCCUCAGUACACAUGUAACCUGCUAUUCUCACCUGAGUGAACCUGCAUUAAUUAGGUUUCUCGUGAUGCUGUGCGUCUGACGUCAUGACGCCUCCGCCUUCUCCAGAAUCUUCUACCUGCAGUUGAGCCGCCAAUUUCUGUCCGACAACGGAAGAAGGUAACAAAGAUACUGAAUCUUCUUUGAAGAUUAAUACAGAGUUCCAGAGGCUCAUGGCUGAUCUUCUUGAGGAGAAGUUUGUGGCCCAGUCAGACAUGCACUCAAUUCAGCCGAUCAAAGUCAUCCGUGCUAAAGGAGGAGCAACACGCCAAAAGACUGUGGACACUUUGGACCAGACUGGACAUUAAUCUUCGGAGGGCAUGUGUGCUUAAAGCCCUCACCAUCUUCCUGGGAGAAGAUGCAGAUGACCUGAUCAAGGAAUAUCUUGUAAGUUUCAACAGUUAUUUGCAUGUCAGCACCAGGUUUUCCGCUAGAAACAAUAGGCAGCAGACAACGUGACCGGCAGGUUUUCAAUGUACUAGGGGUGGUGAAAAAAA